GACGAACGCUGGCGGCGUGCUUAACACAUGCAAGUCGAGCGGUAAGGCCCUUUCGGGGGUACACGAGCGGCGAACGGGUGAGUAACACGUGGGUGACCUGCCCUCAGCUCUGGGAUAAGCCUGGGAAACCGGGUCUAAUACCGGAUAUGACUCCAUGACGCAUGUUGGUGGGGUGGAAAGCCUUGUGCGGCUGAGGAUGGGCCCGCGCCUAUCAGCUUGUUGGUGGGGUGAGGCCUACCAAGGCGACGACGGGUAGCCGGCCUGAGAGGGCGACCGGCCACACUGGGACUGAGACACGGCCCAGACUCCUACGGGAGGCAGCAGUGGGGAAUCUUGCGCAAUGGGCGAAAGCCUGACGCAGCGACGCCGCGUGAGGGAUGACGGCC
rnacentral:rRNA from 1 species